AGUGAACGCUGGCGGCGUGCUUAACACAUGCACGUCGAACUACAACGGGCUAUAGCUUGCUAUAGUUGUCAGCUAAGUGGCGCACGGGUGCGUAAUGUAUAGGUAAUAUGCCUCUUACUAAGGGAUAACAAAUGGAAACGUUUGCUACUACCUUAUACUCCUUAUUACCAGAAGUUAAUAAGGGAAAGAUUUAUUGGUAAGAGAUUAGCCUGUAUUGUAUCAGUUAGUUGGUGGGGUAAUGGCUUACCAAGACUAUGACACAUAACUGGUUUGAGACGAUGGUCAGGCACACUGGAACCGGGACACGGUCCGGUCUCCUGCGGGAGGCAGCAGUGGGGAAUGUUGCACAAUGGACGAAAGUCUUGUGCAGAAACGCCCCGUGGACGAUGGCACAUUUCGGUGCGUAAGCUCGCUGUAUAUGAGAAGGUAAUGACGGUAUUAAAUGAAUAAGCACCGGCUAACUCCGUGCCAGCAGCCGCCGUAA
rnacentral:rRNA from 1 species